rnacentral:rRNA from 1 species
UGGGGAAUAUUGGACAAUGGGGGCAACCCUGAUCCAGCCAUGCCGCGUGAGUGAAGAAGGCCCUCGGGUUGUAAAGCUCUUUUGUCCGGAAAGAAAAGCAUUCGGUGAAUACCCGGAUGUUCUGACGGUACCGGAAGAAUAAGCACCGGCUAACUUCGUGCCAGCAGCCGCGGUAAUACGAAGGGUGCAAGCGUUACUCGGAAUUACUGGGCGUAAAGCGUGCGUAGGUGGUUGUUUAAGUCUGAUGUGAAAGCCCUGGGCUCAACCUGGGAAUGGCAUUGGAAACUGGGCAGCUAGAGUGCGGUAGAGGAUAGUGGAAUUACCGGUGUAGCAGUGAAAUGCGUAGAGAUCGGGAGGAACAUCUGUGGCGAAGGCGACUGCCUGGACCAGCACUGACACUGAGGCACGAAAGCGUGGGGAGCAAACA